GUCCAUAAUACAGACUACAUCACGAUUUGCUAAUAUUUUUGAAAUCCUAUUUGAGAUAACUUUAAACACCAGAAAUCUGUAGAACUAUUCUUGUAAAUUACUUACUUAUGUUGGCAUCAUUAUCACCUUAGUAUUCUUACCAAAAUGUCUGGGAGAACAGUUAACUUUUCACUUCCCAUUUUAUAUGUGCAACCUUCAAUAGUAAGAUAAUUAAGUUGUAUGGGAGAUUUAGAAAAACUGUACUUGCAAUUUUAAUGGCCUUUACUUAAUUUUUUUAACAACAUUGAAAGAAAGGUAUUAUUAUGACCCUUGCCCUAAUUUAAAAUGAGAAAACCUAGGCUCAAAGGGAUUAAGUGUUCAAGGUCACCUAGCAAUGUAGCAAUGAAGAGGCAGUGUCUGUACUCCACCCAGGUCACCUCCCACCAUGGUCAAUGCUCUUCUUCAUCCGUAGAUGCCUUUUUAGAAAAUAAAACCCCUCCUCUUGAGGAUCACUGGACAGUGCGCUACCUACUGGAACAAAGACCAACCAGAUGCUUCGGCAGUGAUAGCAGACUAGAGCUUCAGCAAGCAACCGCUAGGGUAAUGUCAAAGAUCUUCAGUGGUAAGAAGACAAGGAGCAAAGAUUUUUAUCUUACUUUGUGAUUUUCAUAAUUAAAAAGAAAGAAAGAAAGAAAGAAAAGGUAAGCACUAGCUCUCUCACUGCCCUCACUCCCAAACACCAAGCAUUCUAGUUCUGAUUUCCUGUUGACUUGGUAUGUGAGAUCCUGACCCAUCUUCAACUUAGUUUCAUUUUUCAUGAUAAACAAAAAUAAAGGCAGGAAACUGUUGGGGAUGUUUUCCCAAUUAUGGAACCAGAUAGAGUCAGGAAAAGAAGUCAUAUAUGUGCCUUCUCAGCUCUUUCCUCUUCACAUUUAUGCCUCUGGAAAAAAGACUGACAUGGUUCAGUCAUUUUAUCCAAGCCCCUUUUGUCAUUUUCACCACAAUAAAAUAUUCAGGCUGGGAUUCCCUAAGUAAGAAUGGAUCCUUCAAUAAAAAGUUCUCUAUUAAUUAUUUAAUUAUUCUGCUCAAGGAAAUAGUCUGGGUGUUGUAGGAACUCAGAGAUGAGUUCUACAUUUGGUUUUCCAGAGGCUUUGCCACAGCCAGAGGAACUAAGUACCAUAGAAGAAUUCUGCUUAUGAGAGAGCUUUGUACAUGUGAUCCAUGACGGAAGAAUGGCCCCCAUUUUCAGAGAUGUUUGAGUGUGUGACUUAGGGAGGGAUUUCAGGAAGCACUGAGGAGUGGCCAUGCAGGCAGCCAACGAUGCCAAACCAGCCAGAACUGUGCAUGCACGGACAUGUGUGGCAGCCCCUACAGGCAAGCCAGGGCUAGAUGUUGAAGAAUCCUAAACGUCAAGUUAACGAGUUUGAAAUUCCCAGGAGGUACUGAGGAAUCACUGAGCACUGUAGUGCCAAGAGUGUAGACGAUACCUGCAACAGUGCCUGCCACACAAGAGGCACUGAGUAUGUGCUCAUUGAAUGAACAGCUCACCUUAAGAUGCUCCAGGUGCUUCUGCUUCAACAUAAACAACAAGGCUGUUAGCACCCUCCUCUUUGAAGCAGAAGGCUGUUACACUGAUGGUAGCUCUGCCCUCGUUAGGUAGACACCACCACUGAAUCUUUUGUAUUAGGGUAUAAGACUGCUAAAAGUUGUUAUAUUAUUAUUAUCAUCAUCACUAUUAUUUGACAAGUAGCCAGCCUGCAGAAUGGUGCCUGGAAAGUGCUGGGGCCCUAACUCAGAGACUGAUGGCUUGAAACCAUCCUCUGCUCCUAACGUUUAAAACCUCAUGGUGGGAGAACUAGUUAUUGUAUAAAAAUUAAGGUAUUCAAGGAGUUAUAUAAAACAAUGCAUAUUAGAAUCUCAGUUUUAUUAUCUUCUUUCCCAAUCAUUUGUCUAUUGAGGCACUAGAAACAAGAGUCUGAGAAUGUUUAGAAUGUGUUUAAUUUCGUUGAAUUUGUACACUAGACCAAAAGUGCUAGAAUCCCAGUGAGAACUGAGGUUGGCACCUUCCUGGCUGCGUGAUGUUGAGUGAGCUUCUUAUCCUUUCUGGGCUUCUGC
rnacentral:lncRNA from 1 species